GGAUUGUGGCUCAGAGGUAGAGUUCCCGCCUAGCAUGCGUGAGGCACUAGGUUCAAUCCUCAGCACCA
rnacentral:tRNA from 1 species